GACGAACGCUGGCGGCGUGCUUAACACAUGCAAGUCGAACGGAAGGGCCCUGCUUUUGUGGGGUGCUCGAGUGGCGAACGGGUGAGUAACACGUGAGUAACCUGCCCUUGACUUUGGGAUAACUUCAGGAAACUGGGGCUAAUACCGGAUAGGAGCUCCUGCUGCAUGGUGGGGGUUGGAAAGUUUCGGCGGUUGGGGAUGGACUCGCGGCUUAUCAGCUUGUUGGUGGGGUAGUGGCUUACCAAGGCUUUGACGGGUAGCCGGCCUGAGAGGGUGACCGGCCACAUUGGGACUGAGAUACGGCCCAGACGCCUACGGGAGGCAGCAGGGGGGAAUAUUGCACAAUGGGCGGAAGCCUGAUGCAGCAACGCCGCGUGCGGGAUGACGGCCUUCGGGUUGUAAACCGCUUUCGCCUGUGACGAAGCGGGAGUGACGGUAAUGGGUAAAGAAGCACCGGCUAACUACGUG
rnacentral:rRNA from 1 species